AGCAGCCGCGGUAAUUCCAGCUCCAAUAGCGUAUAUUAAAGUUGCUGCAGUUAAAAAGCUCGUAGUUGAAUUUCGGGACCAAUAUGUCGGUCGUGCCUCGGUACGUACUGGCAUCGUUGGUUUCUCCUUUCUGAAGAACCAUGAUGUCAUUUAUUUGGUGUCGUGGGGAAUCAGGACUGUUACUUUGAAAAAAAUUAGAGUGUUUAAAGCAGGCUCACGCUUGAAUACAUUAGCAUGGAAUAAUGAAAUAGGACGUUUGAUUCUAUUUUGUUGGUUUCUAGGAUCGACGUAAUGAUUAAUAGGGAUAGUUGGGGGCAUUAGUAUUCAAUUGUCAGAGGUGAAAUUCUUGGAUUUAUUGAAGACUAACUACUGCGAAAGCAUUUGCCAAGGAUGUUUUCAUUAAUCAAGAACGAAAGUUAGGGGAUCGAAGACGAUCAGAUACCGUCGUAGUCUUAACCAUAAACUAUGCCGACUAGGAAUCAGACGAUGUUAAUUUUUUAAUGACUCGUUUGGCACCUUA
rnacentral:misc_RNA from 1 species